AUCCAUCUGACGAGUCCCAAAUGGGACGAAACGCAUGUCCUGCAU
rnacentral:hammerhead_ribozyme from 1 species